rnacentral:rRNA from 1 species
AUUGAACGCUGGCGGCAUGCCUUACACAUGCAAGUCGAACGGCAGCAUGGAGAGCUUGCUCUCUGAUGGCGAGUGGCGAACGGGUGAGUAAAGCAUCUGAACGUACCGUGUAGUGGGGGAUAACGUAGCGAAAGUUACGCUAAUACCGCAUACGCACUGAGGUGGAAAGCAGGGGAUCGCAAGACCUUGCGCUCUUUGAGCGGCCGAUGUCAGAUUAGCUAGUUGGUGGGGUAACGGCCCACCAAGGCGACGAUCUGUAGCGGGUCUGAGAGGAUGAUCCGCCACACUGGGACUGAGACACGGCCCAGACUCCUACGGGAGGCAGCAGUGGGGAAUUUUGGACAAUGGGGGCAACCCUGAUCCAGCCAUGCCGCGUGAGUGAAGAAGGCCUUCGGGUUGUAAAGCUCUUUCGGCCGGGAAGAAAUCGGGCAGGCUAAUAUCCUGCCUGGAUGACGGUACCGGACUAAGAAGCACCGGCUAACUACGUGCCAGCCGCCGCGGUAA